UACAGAGGUCUCAAGCGUUGUUCGGAUUCAUUGGGCGUAAAGGGUGCGUAGGCGGCGCGGUAAGUCGGGUGUGAAAUCUCGGAGCUUAACUUCGAAACUGCAUUCGAUACUGCCGUGCUUGAGGACUGGAGAGGAGACUGGAAUUUACGGUGUAGCGGUGAAAUGCGUAGAUAUCGGGAGGAACACCAGUGGCGAAGGCGACUACCUGGCCUGUUCUUGACGCUGAGGCGCGAAAGCUAGGGGAGCAAACGGG
rnacentral:rRNA from 1 species